UCAACCGAUUCUGUUAUCGGAACUGAUAUCGUCGGUGUUGGUGAUGAAGGUGACGAAUCUAUAUUAUGAGAUUGUCUUGACUCUUCCAACUCAUUUUCUGAAUUUUGAUUUGACUCAACCGAGUUGUUUAUCACUGGUUGAAUAAUUUGUUUUAUAGCCAAAGAAAAUAUUGGGCCAUUAAUUUUAUUUAAGCUUUGUUCAUUCUUUUUGAUAGUCUUAUUUGGAUAUAUAGAUUUUAAGAACUUAACAUUUUUUGAUAUAAACACUUUCCCAGUAUCUAACUCCAAACAUCAAUAUCCUUUUUGAGAAUAAGCAUAACCUAUAAAACACAUUCAGAUGUUUUGGAGUGAAUUUUGAUAUUCCCUUACUUUUAAACGUUCGGAAGAAAUUAUAAUUUGGAUCCCUAUUAAAAAUCAAAUGAAAAGGAGAUUUAUGAGCUAAUAGUACAGUAGGCAAUCUAUUAAUAACAUACACUAAGUUAAUUGCUUACGCCCAAAACAUAAACGGUAAAUUUGAUUGUGCCAGGGAAAGCGACGAUCUUCCCCACAUGGCCUGAGAAGAGGUGCCUAGGCCAGAACCCGCAUCACCUACGGUCGAGAUCCAGCUAGUGGGGGGUACGAUCAAAAUCGGCGCCCAUCUUAACACGACCAUGCGUUCCAGAAUCAUAAAGUAAUUAGUAAGAAGGAACGGGGAUUUAUUUGCACGCAACCUCAAGGACCUCAGAGGCGUCGCCUGCGCGACUGCAGAGCACAAACUUGACUAGGGUUUAGGCUAUUGUUGGGGGAUCGGUACAAGGCUAUCCUUGUUAAAAGUAUAACGUCGAUCCAACGACGGACUUGGGAGCUGUGGGCUGGCUCCGGUAGACAGAGCUCGUCGUCCGGCGAGCAAUUGAAGAAAGGGGGGAAAGAAGUUAGGUUAAUUCGCAUUAACCAACAAGUAGCCGUUAUUCACUGUAGAACUGUAAUUAGUCACUAAUCAUGCAAAUCAGUGUAUACUCGAUUGAAUUAAUUUCGUUUAAUUACAAUAGACUAUUUAACUAAGAUUAUUACUAACUAACUAAUACAAACUAAUAAC
rnacentral:lncRNA from 1 species